rnacentral:rRNA from 1 species
GGCAUUACAGGGAGGAGCAGGCGCGCAAUUACCCAAUCCUGACUCAGGGAGGUAGUGACAAGAAAUAACAAUAAACCGGCAUCAGCCGGUUUAAUUGGAAUGAGUACAAUUUAAACAUCUUAACGAGGAACAAUUGGAGGGCAAGUCUGGUGCCAGCAGCCGCGGUAAUUCCAGCUCCAAUAGCGUAUACUAAAGUUGUUGCAGUUAAAAAGCUCGUAGUUGGAUUUCUGCGGGAGCGGGGCGGCACACCCACUAUGUGGGUUGUAGCUAGCACUUCUCCUGCAUCCUGCCGCGAACCGUGCUACCAUUAGUUUGGUGGCGCCGGGGAUCGGCUCGUUUACUUUGAGAAAAAUAGAGUGUUCAAAGCAGGCCACACGCCUUGAAUAAGUUAGCAUGGAAUAAUGAUUAAGGACUUCGGUUCUAUUUUGUUGGUGUUCGGGACUGAAGUAAUGAUUGAUAGGGACAGUUGGGGCGGUCCGUAUUCCAAAGCGAGAGGUGAAAUUCUUAGACCUUCGGAAGACGAACAGCUGCGAAAGCGUUCCGCAAGGAUGUUCCCUUUGAUCAAGAACGAAAGUUGGGGGAUCGAAGACGAUCAGAUACCGUCGUAGUCUCAACUAUAAACUAUACCAGCUAGGGAUCGGCCAACGUUUCUUUAUACCGACUUGGUCGGCACCUUAUGAGAAAUCAAAGCAUCUGGGUUCCGGGGGGAGUAUGGUCGCAAGGCUGAAACUUAAAGGAAUUGACGGAAGGGCACCACCAGCCGUGGAGCCUGCGGCUUAUUUUGACUCAACACGGGAAAACUUACCAGGUCCAGACAUAGUAAGGAUUGACAGAUUGAUAGCUCUUUCUUGAUUCUGUGGGUGGUGGUGCAUGGCCGUUCUUAGUUGGUGGAGUGAUUUGUCUGGUUAAUUCCGUUAACGAACGAGACCCCAGCCUGCUAAAUAGCGCGGCUGAGCUUUGCUCGGUACGAGCUUCUUAGAGGGACUAUGAUGCGCGAUAGCACAUGGAAGUUUGGGGCAAUAACAGGUCUGUGAUGCCCUUAGAUGUUCUGGGCCGCACGCGGGCUACACUGGCGCCUGCAUCGAGCAUAUCAGCUGGCCCGAGAGGGUCUUGGCUAAUCUUUUGAACCGGCGCCGUGCUUGGGAUUGACCUUUGCAAUUGUUGGUCAUGCAACGAGGAAUGCCUUGUAAACGCGAGUCAUCAGCUCGCAUUGAAUACGUCCCUGCCCUUUGUACACACCGCCCGUCGCUCCUACCGAUGAAUGUUCCGAUGAAAUUUUCGGAGAGUGCCUGUGAAGCAGGCUCUGCCUGUCGAACGGGAUGCUCAAAGUCACUUAAAUCUAAACAUUGGG